rnacentral:rRNA from 1 species
UUGAUCCUGGCUCAGGAUGAACGCUAGCGGCAGGCUUAACACAUGCAAGUCGAGGGGUAACAGUCCCGCUUCGGCGGGAGCUGACGACCGGCGCACGGGUGAGUAACGCGUAUGCAACUCUCCUGUAACUGGAGGAUAGCCCCUGGAAACGGGGAUUAAUACUGCGUAAUACCUAAAUACCGCAUGGUAUUAAGGUCAAAUCUACGGAGGUUACAGAUGGGCAUGCGUGCCAUUAGCUAGAUGGUAAGGUAACGGCUUACCAUGGCAAUGAUGGCUAGGGGUUCUGCAAGGAAGGCCCCCCACACUGGUACUGAGACACGGACCAGACUCCUACGGGAGGCAGCAGUGAGGAAUACUGGUCAAUGGAGGCAACUCUGAACCAGCCAAGCCGCGUGAAGGAAGACUGUCCUAUGGAUUGUAAACUUCUUUUGUGGCAGAAUAAACUACCGUACUUGUACGGUAUUGCAUGUAUGCCAUGAAUAAGCAUCGGCUAACUCCGUGCCAGCAGCCGCGGUAAUACGGAGGAUGCAGGCGUUAUCCGGAUUUAUUAGGUUUAAAGGGUGUUCAGGCUGCCUGGUAAGUCAGGGGUGAAAGUCGGUUGCUCAACGAUCGAAUUGCCUUUGAAACUGUCAGGCUCGAGUAUGGAUGCGGUAGGCGGAAUGUGUAGUGUAGCGGUGAAAUGCAUAGAUAUUACACAGAACACCGAUUGCGAAGGCAGCUUACCAAACCAGCACUGACGCUGAAGCACGAAAGCGUGGGGAGCGAACAGGAUUAGAUACCCUGGUAGUCCACGCCGUAAACUUUGCUCACUCGCUGUUGGCGAUAGACAGUC